UACGGGGGGGGCAAGCGUUGUUCGGAAUUACUGGGCGUAAAGGGCUCGUAGGCGGCCAACUAAGUCAGACGUGAAAUCCCUCGGCUUAACCGGGGAACUGCGUCUGAUACUGGAUGGCUUGAGUUCGGGAGAGGGAUGUGGAAUUCCAGGUGUAGCGGUGAAAUGCGUAGAUAUCUGGAGGAACACCGGUGGCGAAGGCGGCAUCCUGGACCGACACUGACGCUGAUGAGCGAAAGCGUGGGGAGCAAACAGG
rnacentral:rRNA from 1 species